UACGUAGGGUGCAAGCGUUGUCCGGAAUUAUUGGGCGUAAAGAGCUCGUAGGCGGUCUGUCGCGUCUGCUGUGAAAACUCGGGGCUUAACCCCGGGCCUGCAGUGGGUACGGGCAGACUAGAGUGCGGUAGGGGAGACUGGAAUUCCUGGUGUAGCGGUGAAAUGCGCAGAUAUCAGGAGGAACACCGGUGGCGAAGGCGGGUCUCUGGGCCGUAACUGACGCUGAAGAGCGAAAGCGUGGGGAGCGAACAGG
rnacentral:rRNA from 1 species